rnacentral:tRNA from 1 species
GCCAGCAUGGUGUAGUGGCUUGAGUGUUGGACUAGGACUCUGGAGACCAGGGUUUGAAUCCCUGCUUGGCC